CACCUCUCCUCUCUUCGCCUCUCCGCCCCUUCCCCCCGUCUCUCUGUGCCUCCCUCUCGUUCACUAUCACAAGUGUGGAGUUGUGAAGUUCCAACCUCCCUCUCCUGCCUCGUGCACUCCCCGCGCGGGUCCGAGAGCGGCCCUUCCCAGCCCCGAGGGUGACGGUGCUGGGAAGGACAGGGGGAAGACGAGGAGGAGAAGGAGCAUGUUGUCCCAACCCAGGUGUCCUGGCGCGCCCCGCCAGUGUAUUGGCGGUGUCUUACAAGAGUGUAAUAGGGAUGCCCGGUCUUGAGAAAGGAACGGAGCAGGGGAAAUAAUCUCGGAGGCUGCUGAAGCAGGUGGAGCUUGCAGGGGGGCUGGGAAGCAGAGGCUGCAGGCAUCCAAACCCUGAGCAAGGAAUCCAGCACUUGUGAAAAGUGCCGGCAGUGGUGUGGGACUAGCAUACCUCACUGUGGGAGGCACAGCUGGGGCCUCCCCAGAGCACAAUGCCCCCCAAACUCCAAAAGUUCCUUGAAGCCAAUUGGAUUUCUCUAAG